GCCAGAGUGGCGAAAUUGGUAGACGCAGGGGAUUCAAAAUCCCCCGCCCUAGCGGGUGUGCCGGUUCGAGUCCGGCCUCUGGUACCA
rnacentral:tRNA from 6 species